rnacentral:misc_RNA from 1 species
GAAAUGCGAUAAGUAAUGUGAAUUGCAGAAUUCAGUGAAUCAUCGAGUCUUUGAACGCACAUUGCGCCCCCUGGUAUUCCGGGGGGCAUGCCUGUCCGAGCGUCAUUGCUGCCCUCAAGCACGGCUUGUGUGUUGGGCCCCCGCCCCCCGGCUCCCGGGGGGCGGGCCCGAAAGGCAGCGGCGGCACCGCGUCCGGUCCUCAAGCGUAUUGGGCUUCGUCACCCGCUCUGUAGGCCCGGCCGGCGCCCGCCGGCGACCCCCCUCAAUCUUUAUCAGGUUGACCUCGGAUCAGGUAGGAGUUACCCGCUGAACUUAA